AUGCAGUCGCAUAGUCGUUCCAAUUCUGAUAAGAUGGUCCACCCUAUUGAUGGUGAAGCUUGGCAAGGGUAUGACAAGGAGUUCUCAGAAUUUGCAGAAGAUCGUAGAAAUGUCCGUCUUGUCAUAGCUGGUGAUGGUUUUACACCAUACAAGUUGAAUGCUGCUCCAUAUACUUGCUGGCCUACUUUCAUAGCUCCAUUAAACCUUCCACCCGGUAUUCUCUUGAAACCAGAGUAUAUAUUCCUUAGCCUUGUUAUCCCUGGUCCUGAACAUCCUGGAAAAAAUUUGAGUGUCCUAAUGCAACCUUUAGCUGAUGAACUAAUGCAAUUGUGGGACGGGGUUGAAACAUGGGAUGCUUAUCACAAGGUAAACUUCCCAAUGAAAGCGGCAUUUCUAUGGUCAGUCCACGACUUUCCUGCGUUUGGUAUGUUUGCUGGGUGGAGCACCCAUGGCAAGCUAGCAUGCCCCGAAUGCAUGAGUGAUUCCAAAGCAUUUACUCUUCAAUACGGGCGGAAGCCUUGCUGGUUUGAUUGUCAUAGGCACUUUCUACCUCCAGAUCAUGAAUUCAGAUUCCAAGCCAAUUCAUUUAGAAAGGAUACAAUAGUGUUAGAAGGGCCACCAAGGUGUUUAACAGGAGAGGAAGUGGAAACUCACAUGUACACACAUGUGAAUGACACCUUCAAUUACAAUAAAUUGCACAAUUGGACUCACAUAAGUUGCUUUUGGCAACUUCCAUACUUCAAAAAGUUGAAGCUCCGACACAACAUUGAUGUGAUGCACAAUGAAAGAAAUGCAGCUGAAGCUAUAUUUAACACAUGCUUUGACAUUCCCGAUAAAACUAAAGAUAAUGUGAAGGCAAGAAAAGAUCUAGCUGAAAUUUGCAACCGUCCUUCGAUGCACUUAAAAUUGAAGGACUAUGGGAAGUGGGACAAGCCAGAAGGUGACAGGAAAUUUAAAUAUGCUGACCCAAAUUCCAAGCACUACAAGUAUAAUAUGCAACUUGGAAUCAUUCUUAAACGAGAACACCCAGGGAUAAUUGAGAAGAAGGAAGGUGAUAUUGUCAUUAAAACCCGCCCAGCUUUGGAGUGGUUUGAUUAUUAUGAUAAUGAUACUCUAGAUGAUAAGGGGCAGGCUGCUGCAGAUCGUGUGAAGGAUGUUUUUUGGAACUUGUUUGAGAUCCACGUGAAAGAUGAUGAAGAUCUAGACAAGGUGGAGGAUGAUGCUGAUCUUGUGUUGGACAACUACGCAAUGAAAAAAGUGAGAGACACGAUGUAUCAACUUUGUGUGGAUGCUGUGAAGUUCUACUUUGAGAAACAAGGAGAGCGGCUUGAUGACACAUCGGCAUGUUCAAAAGAACUUGAAUAUGCCCAAUACUUGGAGUGCAGAAUACCAUGGUUUAAGGAACAUGCAUGGCCUCAUCUUUGUGCUUAUUGGUGCUCAAAGACGUUCAAGUCCUUAAGGAAGAGAGGGUAG
rnacentral:rRNA from 1 species